rnacentral:misc_RNA from 1 species
CUUAUUCUGUUCACCUUACUUGUAUCCCCUCGAAAUAUCUCUGAGCUUAAUGUCUCUCAGACAGAAUUUCCUAUUUAUCUCAUUAACAUUAAUAUUACUCUAUAAAAACACUCUUAACAAUUCUCACAAAUUUCGAAUCACACUAUCCACUUACUUAGCCUGCACAUACGUAACCAACAAAUUGACAGAACCAAAUACCCUAAACCACAUUCUGCUAAUAUUAGUUCCAAGCACACUAGAUAAUUUGAAAUUUCGCAUUCUAUCGCGUUUUUCCACCAAAUGCCAACAGAUCGGAUCUGUCUUUUUUUAAGCGACCAUCAUGCAAAUCAGCGUUUUUUAACGAACACGUUUCGGGAACGUAAGUAUCGUGUAAGACUCGGCUUGAGCCGCUCGAGAGCCGGACGUAACGAGAGGCUUACCGAUGCCUUAAUGCCGCGUAAUGCGAUCAAUGCACCGACACAGCCGUGGCAAAACGUCGACAAGGCUUGAAACAGAGAGCAACCGAGUCGAUGGACAACGCGAACACGAUCGAGAGAAAGAAAGAGAAACAUUAGCGAGUACAUUGUCGGUGUACUGGAUGAAUCCGUGAGCGUGGAAAGGGUGUUACGCUACUACGGUUCUCCGGUUUCCGACGCGCUUAAGUGCAAAAACACGUUAAAAUCAAUAGUUUGCGUGGACGACACGGGAUUUAGUAAGCGAGCUCUACUCUCUUUUCUUUCCCUCAUCCCUAUGGUCUUCGAUGGUUGAACGAUCUGAAAGAUCGAGAAGGGGAGCUUUCCACGGACUUGGAACAGAUCCACGGUAUUUACUUUUCCCGGAGUCGAGGGCGACAUUUUAGGGUGAGAUUAGGAG